rnacentral:rRNA from 1 species
AUUGAACGCUGGCGGCAUGCCUUACACAUGCAAGUCGAACGGCAGCACGGGAGCAAUCCUGGUGGCGAGUGGCGAACGGGUGAGUAAUACAUCGGAACGUGUCCGGUAGUGGGGGAUAGCCCGGCGAAAGCCGGAUUAAUACCGCAUACGACCUACGGGUGAAAGCGGGGGAUCGCAAGACCUCGCGCUAUCGGAGCGGCCGAUGUCAGAUUAGCUAGUUGGUGGGGUAAAGGCCACCAAGGCGACGAUCUGUAGCUGGUCUGAGAGGACGACCAGCACACUGGGACUGAGACACGGCCCAGACUCCUACGGGAGGCAGCAGUGGGGAAUUUUGGACAAUGGGCGCAAGCCUGAUCCAGCCAUGCCGCGUGCGGGAA